rnacentral:rRNA from 1 species
AUACGUAGGGUGCAAGCGUUAAUCGGAAUUACUGGGCGUAAAGCGUGCGCAGGCGGUUUUGUAAGACAGUGGUGAAAUCCCCGGGCUCAACCUGGGAACUGCCAUUGUGACUGCAAGGCUGGAGUGCGGCAGAGGGGGAUGGAAUUCCGCGUGUAGCAGUGAAAUGCGUAGAUAUGCGGAGGAACACCGAUGGCGAAGGCAAGCCCCUGGGCCUGCACUGACGCUCAUGCACGAAAGCGUGGGGAGCAAACAGGAUUAGAUACCCUGGUAGUCCACGCCCUAAACGAUGUCAACUGGUUGUUGGGGAUUUAUUUUCUCAGUAACGAAGCUAACGCGUGAAGUUGACCGCCUGGGGAGUACGGCCGCAAGGUUAAAACUCAAAGGAAUUGACGGGG